AGUGAACGCUGGCGGUAGGCCUAACACAUGCAAGUCGAACGGCAGCACAGUAAGAGCUUGCUCUUACGGGUGGCGAGUGGCGGACGGGUGAGUAAUACAUCGGAAUCUACUUUUUCGUGGGGGAUAACGUAGGGAAACUUACGCUAAUACCGCAUACGACCUACGGGUGAAAGCAGGGGAUCUUCGGACCUUGCGCGAUUGAAUGAGCCGAUGUCGGAUUAGCUAGUUGGCGGGGUAAAGGCCCACCAAGGCGACGAUCCGUAGCUGGUCUGAGAGGAUGAUCAGCCACACUGGAACUGAGACACGGUCCAGACUCCUACGGGAGGCAGCAGUGGGGAAUAUUGGACAAUGGGCGCAAGCCUGAUCCAGCAAUACCGCGUGGGUGAAGAAGGCCUUCGGGUUGUAAAGCCCUUUUGUUGGGAAAGAAAAGCAGCAGGUUAAUACCCCGCUGUUCUGACGGUACCCAAAGAAUAAGCACCGGCUAACUUCGUG
rnacentral:rRNA from 1 species